GAGUUUGAUCUUGGCUCAGAACGAACGCUGGCGGCAGGCCUAACACAUGCAAGUCGAACGCUCCGCAAGGGGAGUGGCGCACGGGUGAGUAACGCGUGGGAACGUGCCCUUAGGUACGGAACAACAGCUGGAAACGGCUGCUAAUACCGUAUGAUGUCUUCGGACCAAAGAUUUAUCGCCUAAGGAUCGGCCCGCGUUAGAUUAGGUAGUUGGUGGGGUAAAAGCCUACCAAGCCUACGAUCUAUAGCUGGUCUCAGAGGAUGAUCAGCCACACUGGAACUGAGACACGGUCCAGACUCCUACGGGAGGCAGCAGUGAGGAAUAUUGGACAAUGGGCGCAAGCCUGAUCCAGCCAUGCCGCGUGAAUGAUGAAGGCCUUAGGGUUGUAAAGUUCUUUUAGCAGUGACGAUGAUGACGGUAACUGCAAGAAAAAGCCCCGGCUAACUCCGUGCCAGCAGCCCGCCGCCGU
rnacentral:rRNA from 1 species